UACGUAGGUGGCAAGCGUUGUCCGGAAUUACUGGGCGUAAAGCGUGCGCAGGCGGUUUUGUAAGUCUGACGUGAAAUCCCCGGGCUCAACCUGGGAAUUGCGUUGGAGACUGCAAGGCUAGAGUUUGGCAGAGGGGGGUAGAAUUCCACGUGUAGCAGUGAAAUGCGUAGAUAUGUGGAGGAACACCGAUGGCGAAGGCAGCCCCCUGGGUCAAGACUGACGCUCAUGCACGAAAGCGUGGGGAGCAAACAGG
rnacentral:rRNA from 1 species